rnacentral:rRNA from 1 species
GAUGAACGCUGGCGGCGUGCCUAAUACAUGCAAGUCGAACGAGCGGGCGCGAAGCUUGCUCUUCUGAUGUUAGCGGCGGACGGGUGAGUAACACGUGGAUAACCUGCCUAUCAGACGGGGAUAACAUCGGGAAACCGGUGCUAAUACCGCAUAAUACUUUGAACCGCAUGGUUCGAAGAGGAAAAACGGUCUUGGCUUCUCUUGUUGAUUGGACCGCGCGGCAUUAGCUAGUUGGUAAGGUAACGGCUUACCAAGGCAAGGAUGCAUAGCCGACCUGAGAGGGUGAUCGGCCACACUGGAACUGAGACACGGUCCAGACUCCUACGGGAGGCAGCAGUAGGGAAUCUUCCGCAAUGGGCGAAAGUCUGACGGAGCAACGCCGCGUGAGUGAAGAAGGUUUUCGGAUCGUAAAACUCUGUUGUUAGGGAAGAACAUAUGUGAGAGUAACUGUGAGCAUCUUGACGGUACCUAAUCAGAAAGCCACGGCUAACUACGUG